rfam:Selaginella moellendorffii plastid, complete genome.
UCGAGCCGUAUGCAUUAAAAGGUGCUCGUACGGUUCCGAGGGAGGAUAAGCUGUCCCGUGCAUCGUCGUCAGCCCAUCCCAAC